rnacentral:lncRNA from 1 species
AUGAAGGCACUUAUUCUAAGUCCUCUGGCCAGACUCAUUCCCAACUUCUCCAAGGAAAUGGAUGCUUCUCAUAGAACAGAUGGGAAAUCAGUAGAAAGAAAUGCAAAUAUGAAGAACAUAUUAAUAAAUGUUUUCAUAAUCAUUGGAGUAUGUCUGUCCUCAUUACUCUCUUUUUUUUCCCCAAAUUUCCUUGGCUUCUCUUACACAUUUACCCUUUUACCCUUUUAAUUUUAGUAUGGAUUCUUAUAUAAAUAUGUUUCCACAAAAUAUCACAAUAUAUAUCUCUUCCUCUUUAAAAGAAAUUUCCUUUUUUAUUUUUUUUAAUUUUUUCAUACUUACAAGAGUAAAAUCUGCCUUGCAAUUCAGUUCCUUCUGCCUUAUGGCUCUUUCCUGU